AGCGGGAAAAGCUCAAAUUUAAAAUCUGGCGGUCUCUGGCCGUCCGAGUUGUAAUCUAGAGAAGUAAUGCCCGCGCUGGACCGUGUACAAGUCUCCUGGGAUGGAGCAUCAUAGAGGGUGAGAAUCCCGUCUCUGACACGGACUACCAGGGCUUUGUGGUAUGCUCUCAAAGAGUCGAGUUGUUUGGGAAUGCAGCUCAAAAUGGGUGGUAAAUUCCAUCUAAAGCUAAAUAUUGGCGAGAGACCGAUAGCGAACAAGUACCGUGAGGGAAAGAUGAAAAGAACUUUGGAAAGAGAGUUAAACAGUACGUGAAAUUGCUGAAAGGGAAACGCUUGAAGUCAGUCGCGUUGGCCAGGAAUCAGCCUCGCUUUUGCGUGGUGUACUUUCUGGUUGAUGGGUCAGCAUCAAUUUUGACCACUGGAAAAAGGCCUGGGGAAUGUGGCAGCUUCGGCUGUGUUAUAGCCCCUGGUUGCAUACAGUGGUUGGGAUUGAGGAACUCAGCACGCCGCAAGGCCGGGUUUCGACCACGUUCGUGCUUAGGAUGCUGGCAUAAUGGCUUUAAGCGACCCGUCUUGAAACACGGACCAAGGAGUCUAACAUGCCUGCGAGUAUUUGGGUGGAAAACCCGAGUGCGUAAUGAAAGUGAAAGUUGAGAUCCCUGUCGUGGGGAGCAUCGACGCCCGGACCAGAACUUUUGGGACGGAUCCGCGGUAGAGCAUGUAUGUUGGGACCCGAAAGAUGGUGAACUAUGCCUGAAUAGGGUGAAGCCAGAGGAAACUCUGGUGGAGGCUCGUAGCGAUUCUGACGUGCAAAUCGAUCGUCAAAUUUGGGUAUAGGGGCGAAAGACUAAUCGAACCAUCUAGUA
rnacentral:rRNA from 1 species